ACAUAACAUUAGAUUCUACCCGACCUGAAAAGCCUCGGCACAUCUCUCUGUGGUCCGUGUGCAGCUGGGUUAUCAAGGCAGCGAGUAUUUGAGACACACAGCCGGUGACGUGAUUCCGACUACUGCUGGUGGCCAGAAGUUAAUGCCAUGAUGUUAACACACGCUAACUGUUAUCAGUCACACUGGAGGAGCAGACGGGCCAUGGCUCCAAUGUUUUGAAUUUGGACGCAGUACCCAUUUUAAAAAGCAAGCUGUCAAUGCUACAUACAAAUUGUAUUGAUGUCCAUCAUUAACUUU